GACCGCUUGGUGAUCCAGUGGUUAGAGCAUCCGCCUCGGAUGCGGGAGGUCGUGGGUUUGAACCCCAGCCAAGUCA